rnacentral:rRNA from 1 species
GGGAGUAUUUGGCAAUGGGGGAAACCCUGACCGAGCAACGCCGCGUGCGCGAUGAAGCCCCUCGGGGCGUAAAGCGCUGUGGCCGGGUCGGAACCGCGCGGGGAGGCAAUGCCCCGCGCCUGACGGCCCGGCUAGAAAGCAACUGCUAACUACGUGCCAGCAGCAGCGGUAAUACGUAGGGUUGCAAGCGUUAUCCGGAAUUAUUGGGCGUAAAGAGUGAGCAGACGGCCCAGCAAGCGGGAGGUCAAAUGCCCGGGCUCAACCCGGGUCCGCCCCCCGAACUGCAGGGCUAGAGCGCUGGAGAGGCAAGCGGAACUCCUCAUGUAGCGGGUGAAAUGCGCAGAUAUGAGAAGAACACCGUGACGAAGCGGCUUGCUAGAACAGCGACUGACGCUCAGUCACGAAGCGUGGGGAGCAAUAGGCUUAAAUACCUAGUAGUCACGCCGUAAACGCUGAGGACCUGGUGGCGGCGGCAACGCCGGCGCCGGAGCUAACGCAGUGAGUCCUCCGCCUGGGUACUACGUUCGCAAGAAUAAAACUUAAAGGAAUUGACGGGGGCCCGCACAAGCAGUGGAGCAUGUGGUUCAAUUCGUGGCUACGCGGAAAACCUUACCUGGGUUUGACAUCCCGAUAAAGGCCCCGGAGACGGGGAGAUAGCUAUAUCGGUGAACGGUGGUGCAUGGCUGUCGUCAGCUCGUGU